rnacentral:snoRNA from 1 species
AGCCAAUUACAUUGGCAAUAUACGCUAUACUGACCAUAUUUUGAUGAAAAGUUGUAUAUGA